AGCAGCCGCGGUAAUUCCAGCUCCAAUAGCGUAUAUUAAAGUUGUUGCAGUUAAAAAGCUCGUAGUUGAAUUUCGGGGUCAGUAGAUUGGUCGUGCCACUGGUAUGUACUGGUCUUACUGGCUCCUCCUUCCUGAUGAACCGUAAUGCCAUUAAUUUGGUGUUGCGGGGAGACUGGACUGUUACUUUGAAAAAUUAGAGUGUUUAAAGCAGGCUAACGCUUGAAUACAUUAGCAUGGAAUAAUGAAAUAGGACGUUCGAUCUUAUUUUGUUGGUUUCUAAGAUUGACGUAAUGAUUAAUAGGGAUAGUUGGGGGCAUUAGUAUUCAAUUGUCAGAGGUGAAAUUCUUGGAUUUAUUGAAGACUAACUACUGCGAAAGCAUUCGCCAAGGACGUUUUCAUUAAUCAAGAACGAAAGUUAGGGGAUCGAAGACGAUCAGAUACCGUCGUAGUCCUAACCAUAAACUAUGCCGACUAGGGAUCGGAUGAUGUUAAUUUUUAAUGAC
rnacentral:sRNA from 1 species